GAGGCCAGUGGCAGAAGUCCUGACGGAGCACGCCGCGUGAGUUGAUGAAGGUUUUUCGGAUCGUAAAACUUCUGUUGUCAGGGAAGAACAAGUGCCGGAGUAACUCGCCGGCACCUUCGACGGUACCUGACCAGAAAGCCACGGCUAACUACGUGCCAGCAGCCGCGGUAAUACGUAGGUGGCAAGCGUUGUCCGGAAUUAUUGGGCGUAAAGCGCGCGCAGGCGGUCUCUUAAGUCUGAUGUGAAAGCCCACGGCUCAACCGUGGAGGGUCAUUGGAAACUGGGGGACUUGAGUGCAGAAGAGGAAAGUGGAAUUCCACGUGUAGCGGUGAAAUGCGUAGAGAUGUGGAGGAACACCAGUGGCGAAGGCGACUUUCUGGUCUGUAACUGACGCUGAGGCGCGAAAGCGUGGGGAGCAAACAGGAUUAGAUACCCUGGUAGUCCACGCCGUAAACGAUGAGUGCUAAGUGUUAGAGGGUUUCCGCCCUUUAGUGCUGCAGCAAACGCAUUAAGCACUCCGCCUGGGGAGUACGGCCGCAAGGCUGAAACUCAAAUGUUUGGGGACGGGGGAA
rnacentral:rRNA from 2 species